GUGUGUUCCCUGGAGGUUGGAGACUUCUGGAGAUUUCGUAACUGUGAUGUGGUCCAGAAAGCAGAUGGACGUGAGAUGAAGGCACCAUCAUCCUGGCCCCUGGUUUACCCUCCCUGGGGGCUUUGAGAUGCAUGUGAUUCCCUUUGGUGUGCAGGUUUGGGUCUGGAAUCAAUAGGGAUCCCUUCCUUCCUUGGGUGUGUUGGCAACAGAAUGUCUGAGUCAAAAGCAGAAAGGAUUUCUCACCUAUACUCAGGUCUUAGCUACUUUGUUUUUGCUUCCUAGCUUUGGGACCUUUUCUCAUCCUCAUUUUCAUCCACUAGAAAGCAGGGAUAUGAUGAGACAGGGUUUUUUGGGGUCACAACUCCCUGUUUUCCUCAAUGUAAGAACUUCUAUCAGCUAGCUAGCUUGCUUUCUUUCUUUCUUUCUUUCUUUCUUUUCUUUCUUUUCUUUCUUUCUUUCUUUUUGUAGUUUAUUUGAGACACGGUCUCUCUUAUGUAGUUCAGGCUGGCCUUGAACUCACUUUGUAGCCAGGCUGGCCUCCAACCCAUGGCAAUACUCCUGCCUCAGGCUCCCAAGUGCUGGGAUUACAAGCAUGAACAUGCCUAGCUCUCCAACAGUUUUCUUUAGAGGUGUCUUUCUUUUGCCUCCCCUGUAGGGCCACGUUGAAGGAACUUUUGUAGAGUUAGAAACAAUUGUUGUGUCCUUGUGUUUAGUUGGGCUGGCUGCUCAAAGCUUCUGCCACUGGUCUCCUUUUAAAAAACAGCAAGCCCUCUGACCUUUUCUGCCCCUGCAUUCGUAAGUGAUCAGGGGGUGCCCAUUCCCUGGUCAUUGGUAUUGCAGGCAGAGGAAAUACGGAAAGAAUUGUCCUGUGUUUGGAGGGUCUGCGUGCUUGCCUUCCAGUGCUAGGAGCUUUCCCACACUCUUGCUUCUCAUCAUACAGCUUGGGCUUUGGAGCUGCUAUGUGAGCAUUACUGUCAUUGUUGGAACUUUCACUUCCUGCCCCCUGCUUUUGGGAACUAGGCCAUGUGUGUUGCUUAAGUUCCCCUUGACAGCCAGCAGAGUCACUACCACUCAGCCAAUCUGUGGUUAUGUAUUAAUCAGUAUUAGCUACCCUGCCAUAGGCCAUCUCUCUCUCUUUAGUUAACUCUUAUUUUCAUAAAGAAAUAUUGUGUUUGCUUAGGAAGUAAUAGUCACUGCGUUUGGAAUGCCUACUGUCUGGUAACUACUAUGUUAAUUCUUUUCCUGGUGGCUUUCAUGUCCAUGCUGCUGGAUGCUCACCAAUUAUUCCUGUCUCUUGCAGGUGUCCCGGGAGUUGUCCUGUCAGGAACACCUUAGACCCCAGUGUCAUUGAGAGUUUUCAAUCCAUGGUCUGCUGGUUCCAUUGCUUUAGGGCCUAUGGCGAGGCAGAAAUGUCAUUGGCAGAAGGCCUGGUGGAGGAAAGCUGCUUACUUCAUCACAGCCAAGAAGCAGAGAAAGAAAGAAAAAGCCAUGGGGAGGACUUUGAGGUUGAGGUGAGCAAGAGCUCCCAAGUCCUGCUGGGUAGACUGAUGGGCAGGCCAGUAAUGACAGCAAGAAGGAUGGCAGCUAGGGUGGUCCUUUGGGACCUCGAUGGGAGGAGCUCUAAGGGUGAGCUCUUAUGGGAGGAAGGAGUAGGGCACAAAGUAUACCCCUCCGAGCCACACCCACAGUGACCUGUUUCAUCCAGUUAGGCCCCACCUCCUAACAAACCCAUUCAACUCAUUAAUUCAUUAGUGGAUUGAUCCACUUGAUGAUGAUCCAGACCCUUUUAAAAGCCCAUCAGCUGGCAGCCAAGGCUUCAACACAGUGAACCAUCACAUUAGCCUUUAGUGGCUCCUGUAAAAGUAAAACCUCCAGAGUAUCACUUGGGCAAUAAGAGUCUCCCAGUUGUCUGCCCUCCCUGCCUGGCUGUCUGCAGCAGCAUGCUGUAAUGCAGAAUGGGUGGAUCUGGGCAUGAGAAUCUCCUUCUGCCAGUAUCUCAAUCAAAGAUCAGCUCAACCCAAUUUUCUUGAUUUGAAAAAUAAAGUGAUAAAUAUUUUUCCAGGAUUUCUACCCAAGUUGACUUUUUUUUGAUUCCCUGUGGCAGAGAGGUUCUUUGGGGAUUUUGCCACUAUCAGAGUCCUGUGCUUCACUGGGCUGUUUUCCUGUACUCGACCCAUUCCACAGGCCACUGGCACCCCCGUCUCUUCCAGGGCCGGCCACUCUCUGGUGUGUGCACCUGCAUUCGAAAGUGAUCAUGGGCUGCCUGUGCCCUGGUCAUCAACAAAGCAGGGAGAGGAACCGCUGAAAGCCGUUUCCCGUGUUUGCAGGGUCCAGCCUGUCCCUUGCAAAUGCUGGCGCUUUCGCACACUUCUUUCCUGCCAACACAUUCCAGUUUCAAGAGCCUUAAGGGCUGCUGUGUAAGGGUCAGUGAUGGGAGACAUUUUGUCUUGCUUGGCCUCUCUAUCUAGUGAAUAAGUGAGAUGUUGGGUGAUACACAGUCAUUACCACAGGAUUUUCAAAGAGAAGUGGCCUUUUGGAAGUGGUGGGUCUGGGCAGGCCUUGGAAGGGGUGUGAUAUGAGAGAUAUUCUGAGGGGCGGGAAUCAUGUGGAGGACUUUGAGGUUGAGGGAUGCUGCGCUGGAACUGGAGAUUGCUGAAGGAAGGCCCUGGAAUAGAGGCACUGACCCUGUCAGGAUGAUGAAUGGGGUUCCUGCUCUGAAGGGAUCUCCUCAUGUUGGUUGUGGUGUUGAUUGUGGACACUGGCAUAGCAGAGUGAAGAGUGUCAUUGUCACACGACGCAUUCCAGACCUUAGUGCAGUGGCCUCAGCACAACACAGAGCACCUUUUUACUCUGCAUGAGCAAGCGGAGGGGAAGGCCUGGACUCUGAGGACUUGGGGUCCAGAGGUGGAGACCUUCCAGCUGGUUCUACCCCAUCCCAGCAGAGCCACAGAGCAUCAUAGACGGGAAGACCAGUCUUCCUUCAACUGGCCACCUCCAGUCUUGCCUACUCCUGGUGUAACUUGUAGACCCAAGAGAUCCUGGUGAAGUUUUCUAUACCCUGCACAACCUCAAUAAAUUGUCCACCUCAAUAAAUUUUGAAACAUGCUGUGCUGUGUAUUUUUUGGGUUUUGUUUGUUUACCAAAAUACCCAUGUGUACCAGCUAGGCUGGGUAUAGAGAAGGUAGUCACAGGGUGAAUCUUCCAGUUUUCACUUACUGAGAAUUCCCACUUAGCAUGCUCCUAAGUGGGAUGUGACCUAGGGAAUUUGAGGUAGGAGGUAGGAUUUGGACUAGAGGUUGAACAAUGC
rnacentral:lncRNA from 1 species